CUCAGGAGGCUGAGGCAGGAGAAUUGCUUGAACCCGGGAGCCAGAAGUUGCACUAAGCCAAGAUGAUGCCACUGCACUCCAGCCUGGGCUACAGUGUGAAACUCUGUCUCAAAA